GCCCUCGUAGUCCAGCCUGGAUAGGACACAGGCCUCCGAAUGGCCUGAAAAACAGGUGAAAGUCUGUGACCCGGGUUCAAAUCCCGGCGAGGGCG
rnacentral:tRNA from 1 species